UACAGAGGUCUCAAGCGUUGUUCGGAUUCAUUGGGCGUAAAGGGUGUGUAGGUGGCGCGCUAAGUCGGGUGUGAAAUUUCGGAGCUUAACUCCGAAACUGCAUUCGAUACUGGCGUGCUUGAGGACUGGAGAGGAGACUGGAAUUCAUGGUGUAGCAGUGAAAUGCGUAGAGAUCAUGAGGAAGACCAGUGGGCGAAGGCGGCUACCUGGACCAGCACUGACACUGAGGCACG
rnacentral:rRNA from 1 species